GACGUAGGGCGCAAGCGUUGUCCGGAUUUAUUGGGCGUAAAGAGCUCGUAGGCGGCUUGUCGCGUCGACUGUGAAAACCCGCGGCUAACUGUGGGACUGCGAGUCGAUACGGGCUAGCUAGAGUUCGGUAGGGGAGACUGGAAUUCCUGGUGAGCGGUGAAAUGCGCAGAGUAUCAAGGAGGAACACCGGUGCGAAGGGCGGAA
rnacentral:rRNA from 1 species